rnacentral:ncRNA from 2 species
CUGGAUUGAGUAGCGCAUGGACCAGGCUUGAGGAGGAGGCCUGGUUGACGAGGAGGAGGCUGUUCGGAGCAUCAGCGGGGAGCCUCCAGGGCCGAUCACAGCCCUGAGAAGUGGGUCGACAAAACCAGGUGGUAACGCCGGGGACAAUAUACUCACAGUGAGCAAG